UACGGAGGGUGCAAGCGUUAAUCGGAUUUAUUGGGCGUAAAGAGCACGUAGGCUGAGUGGAAAGUUAGAUGUGAAAACCCGGGGCUCAACUCCGGAUCCGCAUCUAAAACUCCCAUUCUAGAGGAUGGACGGAGAAAAGGGAAUUCCACGUGUAGCGGUAAAAUGCGUAGAUAUGUGGAAGAACACCAGUGGCGAAGGCGCUUUUCUAGUUUAUACCUGACGCUGAGGAGCGAAAGCAAGGGGAGCAAAC
rnacentral:rRNA from 1 species